UACGGGGGGGGCAAGCGUUGUUCGGAAUUACUGGGCGUAAAGGGUUUGUAGGUGGCCGGCUAAGUCAGACGUGAAAUCCCUCAGCUUAACUGGGGAACUGCGUCUGGGACUGGUCGGCUUGAGGGCCGGAGAGGAACGCGGAAUUCCAGGUGUAGCGGUGAAAUGCGUAGAUAUCUGGAGGAACACCGGUGGCGAAGGCGGCGUUCUGGACGGCAUCUGACACUGAGAAACGAGAGCCAGGGGAGCAAACGGG
rnacentral:rRNA from 1 species